rnacentral:rRNA from 1 species
AACGAACGCUGGCGGCAGGCCUAACACAUGCAAGUCGAACGCUGUAGCAAUACAGAGUGGCAGACGGGUGAGUAACACGUGGGAACCUACCUAUUGGUACGGAAUAGCUCAGGGGAAACUUGAGGUAAUACCGUAUACGCCCUUACGGGGAAAGAUUUAUCGCCGAUAGAUGGGCCCGCGUCUGAUUAGCUAGUUGGUGAGGUAAUGGCUCACCAAGGCGACGAUCAGUAGCUGGUUUGAGAGAAUGACCAGCCACACUGGGACUGAGACACGGCCCAGACUCCUACGGGAGGCAGCAGUGGGGAAUCUUGGACAAUGGGCGCAAGCCUGGAUCCAGCCAUGCCGCGUGAGUGACGAAGGCCUUAGGGUUGUAAAGCUCUUUUGGCGGGGACGGAUAAUGACGGUACCCGCGAGAAUAAGCCCCGGCUAACUUCGUAGCCAGCAGCCGCGGUAAAGUCGAU